rnacentral:rRNA from 1 species
AUGGCUCAGAUUGAACGCUGGCGGCAGGCCUAACACAUGCAAGUCGAGCGGAUGAAGAGAGCUUGCUCUCUGAUUCAGCGGCGGACGGGUGAGUAAUGCCUAGGAAUCUGCCUGGUAGUGGGGGGCAACGUCUCGAAAGGGGCGCUAAUACCGCAUACGUCCUACGGGAGAAAGCAGGGGACCUUCGGGCCUUGCGCUAUCAGAUGAGCCUAGGUCGGAUUAGCUAGUUGGUGAGGUAAUGGCUCACCAAGGCGACGAUCCGUAACUGGUCUGAGAGGAUGAUCAGUCACACUGGAACUGAGACACGGUCCAGACUCCUACGGGAGGCAGCAGUGGGGAAUAUUGGACAAUGGGCGAAAGCCUGAUCCAGCCAUGCCGCGUGUGUGAAGAAGGUCUUCGGAUUGUAAAGCACUUUAAGUUGGGAGGAAGGGUUGUAGAUUAAUACUCUGCAAUUUUGACGUUACCGACAGAAUAAGCACCGGCUAACUCUGUGCCAGCAGCCGCGGUAAUACAGAGGGUGCAAGCGUUAAUCGGAAUUACUGGGCGUAAAGCGCGCGUAGGUGGUUUGUUAAGUUGGAUGUGAAAGCCCCGGGCUCAACCUGGGAACUGCAUUCAAAACUGACAAGCUAGAGUAUGGUAGAGGGUGGUGGAAUUUCCUGUGUAGCGGUGAAAUGCGUAGAUAUAGGAAGGAACACCAGUGGCGAAGGCGACCACCUGGACUGAUACUGACACUGA